AGGACGAACGCUGGCGGCGCGCUUAAUGCAUGCAAGUCGAACGAGGUACGGUCCUUCGGGACNUAUGCCAAGUGGCGGACGGCUGAGUAACGCGUGAGUGACCUGCCCUUAAGUGGGGGACAACACCGAGAAAUCGGUGCUAAUACCGCAUAAUCUCCACUCUUUAGCGAGAGUAGAGGAAAGGCUAUAUGCCACUUUUGGAGGGGCUCGCGUUCUAUCAGGUAGUUGGUGAGGUAACGGCUCACCAAGCCAUCGACGGAUAGCCGGAGUGAGAGCUCGAUCGGCCAGAGGGGGACUGAGACACGGCCCCCACUCCUACGGGAGGCAGCAGCAGGGAAUCUUGCACAAUGGGCGAAAGCCUGAUGCAGCGACGCCGCGUGAGGGAAGAAGGCUCUAGGGUCGUAAACCUCUUUUCUAAAGGAAGAGAAUGGACGGUACUUUAGGAAUAAGCCACGGCUAACUACGUGCCAGCAGCCGCGGUAAUACGUAGGUGGCAAGCGUUGUCCGGAAUUACUGGGCGUAAAGGGCCUGUAGGCGGCAUGGUAAGUCCGUAGUGAAAUCUCCCGGCUUAACUGGGAGCGGUCUAUGGAUACUGCCAAGCUAGAGAUCAUCAGAGGAGAGCGGAAUUCCCGGUGUAGUGGUGAAAUGCGUAGAUAUCGGGAGGAACACCAGUGGCGAAAGCGGCUCUCUGGGGUGGUUCUGACGCUGAGGGGCGAAAGCGUGGGGAGCAAACCGGAUUAGAUACCCGGGUAGUCCACGCCCUAAACGAUGAAUGCUAAGUCUCCGGGGUAUCCACCCCCUGUGGGCUGCAGUUAACGCGUUAAGCAUUCCGCCUGGGGACUACGGCCGCAAGGCUAAAACUCAAAGGAAUUGAC
rnacentral:rRNA from 1 species